rnacentral:lncRNA from 1 species
GGGGCCUCGCGCUGGGGACGUUGCGUCUGCAGCUGCGGCGCGCCUCCCACCCUCAGAGGGCUCAGGACUGUGUAUGGUCAAGGAAUAUUUACCAAAGAAGUGAGGCCACCUGUUCCCCCUCCCCCAACCUGUGAAAAGGAAGCAACCAUCCCUCCUGCCCUGCAGCCCAGGAAUGAAGCUGCAAAGUUCUGAUAGUGCCUGCCAUGAGAUGUUACAGCACAGAGCAGUGGGGCUUUUGGACAGCUGGGAAAGAGGAGUGGCAUAAGCGCCCCACCUAGACUGCCCAAUAAUUAGGGAUAAAGCUGACACCGUGGGAAAAGCCUAGAGUUUGCCUGGCACUAACAGAUCUAACUCAGACUUUGUAGGUGGGGUGACCUCAGGACUCUUUAAGCCUCGGGUUCCUCAUCUGUAAAAUGGGAGUAAUCAGGAUGUAUCUCAUAG